AUUCCCUCCCUCGGGGGGAGCUGGGACACUUCGGUAGGAGGUGGGAAGUGGGAGGAAAGGAAAAGCCAGCGCCGUCGGCGUUCUGCGGCCGAAUUAACCGCACACCGCUUCCGGCGCGUUCCCGUGGUUGCCGCUAUCAACUUCCGGACAGUGGUUGGCUGGGAGGGUGCGAAGUUGUCAGGAGCGACUGGUGGCGGGGAGCUGCUGCGGAAGCCGCCAUGUCAGCCAAAGUGGGCGACAGGCACCAGGCACCAGCAGGUAUGCUAUUGGAGGUAUUGGUUCCAAACUUCCAUGUCUUCGCUUUGUGGCUCAAGGAAAACACCUUGACUGAGCAGUGGAGAGCACCCUGUGCUGCUGUGAACCUCUGUGGCUGAAACUGCCCCAAGGAGAAGCAAGAUUUGGCUAUGGUUUCUUAACUGACAUUGCAUAAACUUAUUUGCAUUUACAGUGCAUAAAACCAGACCGGCUGGACUUAUUAUUUAGGGUCAACUCCACUGUCAGCAACUAUAGAGGAUGGAGACAGUGGGUUGUUUGACAGUGACAAUGUACAGCUAUGACUUUGCUUUGACUAUGUGCAGCUGUGAUCCUACAGCAAAGAGGAAAAUAACUUUGAGGGAGUAUGAGAAGAAACCUGGAUGAAACAGAAACAAAGGAAUGUGAUCUAACCUCUAGAAGAUAAGGAAACAGCGUGAACAGUGUUGGGGUCUGCAGACAAGUUAGUUGACUUCAAAGACUUAGCCGUGUACCUUUAAGACAGCCACAAAUUGUCAGGUAUGUAAACAGGAUGUGAAGAACCCGAACUUAGAACCGCAGCAUACGGGCACCUACAGCAACAGCAAAUAGCAAGCAAGAAGAAGGACACAAAAAC